CCUACGGGAGGCUGCAGUGGGGAAUAUUGCACAAUGGGCGCAAGCCUGAUGCAGCCAUGCCGCGUGUGUGAAGAAGGCCUUCGGGUUGUAAAGCACUUUCAGCGGGGAGGAAGGCGGUGAGGUUAAUAACCUCAUCGAUUGACGUUACCCGCAGAAGAAGCACCGGCUAACUCCGUGCCAGCAGCCGCGGUAAUACGGAGGGUGCAAGCGUUAAUCGGAAUUACUGGGCGUAAAGCGCACGCAGGCGGUCUGUCAAGUCGGAUGUGAAAUCCCCGGGCUCAACCUGGGAACUGCAUUCGAAACUGGCAGGCUAGAGUCUUGUAGAGGGGGGUAGAAUUCCAGGUGUAGCGGUGAAAUGCGUAGAGAUCUGGAGGAAUACCGGUGGCGAAGGCGGCCCCCUGGACAAAGACUGACGCUCAGGUGCGAAAGCGUGGAGAGCAAACAGGAUUAGAUACCCUGGUAGUC
rnacentral:rRNA from 1 species